rnacentral:tRNA from 1 species
GGCAGGGUAGCCUAGUGGUUAGAGCGUUGGGCUAGUAACCCGAAAGGUUGCAAGUUCGAAUCCCUAAGCUG